AGAGUUUGAUCCUGGCUCAGGACGAACGUUGGCGGCGUGCUUAACACAUGCAAGUCGAGCGGAGAAGCCAUUGCUUACAUCUUCGGAUAUAAACAAAGGUGGAUCAGCGGCGGACGGGUGAGUAACACGUGGGCAACCUGCCCAUAAGCCCGGGAUAACCCAGCGAAAGCUGUGCUAAUACCGGAUAACCCAUGGAUAUUGCAUAAUACCCAUGGUAAAGCGAACAGCGCUUAUGGAUGGGCCCGCGUCCCAUUAGCUAGUUGGUGAGAUAACAGCUCACCAAGGCACCGAUGGGUAGCCGACCUGAGAGGGUGACCGGCCACACUGGGACUGAGACACGGCCCAGACUCCUACGGGAGGCAGCAGUGGGGAAUAUUGCGCAAUGGGGGGAACCCUGACGCAGCAACGCCGCGUGAGCGACGAAGGCCUUCGGGUCGUAAAGCUCUGUCAUAGGGGACGAAACAAGACUGUACCCUAAGAGGAAGCCCCGGCUAACUACGUGCCAGCAGCCGCGGUAACACGUAGGGGGCAAACGUUGUCCGGAAUUACUGGGCGUAAAGCGCGCGUAGGCGGUCAAUUAAGUCAGGUGUGAAAGGCCCGGGCUUAACCCGGGUAUUGCACUUGAAACUGAUUGACUUGAGGACAGGCGAGGGAAGUGGAAUUCCUAGUGUAGCGGUGAAAUGCGUAGAUAUUAGGAAGAACACCAGUGGCGAAGGCGACUUCCUGGACUGUAACUGACGCUGAGGUGCGAAAGCGUGGGUAGCGAACAGGAUUAGAUACCCUGGUAGUCCACGCUGUAAACGAUGGAUACUAGGUGUAGGAGGUUUCAAUACCAUCUGUGCCGUAGUUAACGCAAUAAGUAUCCCGCCUGGGGAGUACGACCGCAAGGUUGAAACUCAAAGGAAUUGACGGGGGCCCGCACAAGCAGCGGAGCAUGUGGUUUAAUUCGAAGCAACGCGAAGAACCUUACCAGGGCUUGACAUCUCCUGCCAACUGUAGAAAUACAGCCUUCCCUUUUGGGACAGGAAGACAGGUGGUGCAUGGUUGUCGUCAGCUCGUGUCGUGAGAUGUUGGGUUAAGUCCCGCAACGAGCGCAACCCCUAUCUUUAGUUGCUAGCAGGUCAAGCUGAGCACUCUAAAGAGACUGCCGGUGACAAACCGGAGGAAGGUGGGGAUGACGUCAAAUCAUCAUGCCCCUUAUGCCCUGGGCGACACACGUGCUACAAUGGCCUGAACAGAGGGAAGCAAGACCGUAAGGUGGAGCGAAUCCCAUAAAACAGGUCCCAGUUCGGAUUGUGGGCUGCAACUUGCCCACAUGAAGCCGGAGUUGCUAGUAAUCGCGGAUCAGCAUGUCGCGGUGAAUGCGUUCCCGGGCCUUGUACACACCGCCCGUCACACCACGAGAGUUCGAAACACCCGAAGCCGGUGAACUAACCGUAAGGGAGUAGCCGUCGAAGGUGGGUCAAAUGAUUGGGGUGAAGUCGUAACAAGGUAACC
rnacentral:rRNA from 1 species